rnacentral:rRNA from 1 species
UACGUAGGGUGCGAGCGUUGUCCGGAAUUAUUGGGCGUAAAGAGCUCGUAGGCGGUCUGUCGCGUCGUGUCGUGAAAACUUGGGGCUUAACCCUGAGCUUGCGGUCGAUACGGGCAUGACUGGAGUUCGGUAGGGGAGACUGGAAUUCCUGGUGUAGCGGUGAAAUGCGCAGAUAUCAGGAGGAACACCGGUGGCGAAGGCGGGUCUCUGGGCCGAUACUGACGCUGAGGAGCGAAAGCGUGGGGAGCGAACAGG